UAUGGCACUGUGUAUUCGGUUGAAUAGCCAAUCAUUUCAAAUCAAGUUGAGCGGGUCUGCAUCGUUAUUUUGACGAAGUUUGAAACCAGUGGUAAUUUUUUGGCACUUCAUCUAGAUUUAAGAAGAUUCUUGCCUUGACAACUGCUCGAACUCCCGGGUUGGCAUGCUCUGAAGGUAUAGUGAAUUCAGUAUGCAGAUUGUUGAAGGGAAAACAUCAAGACGGGGCGAGGAAGACAACAAAACAUGAUUACCCAGAUUGAGGAUCCCAGUGUUCUUUGUCUCAAGCUACUCAGCCUACCAUGAGAAAAUUAAACGAUCUGUCAUAAAGAAGAGGCGGGUUCUCAACUUUCAUAUUAUAAAUG